AAAUAAUUUGACGUCAUAUAUAUAUAUAUAUAUACAUAUAUAUUUUAAAGUUUAUUUGGUGUUCCCCCCCAAAUUUUCCCCAACUAUAGUUCUUACUAACAUCUUCCGUGGAACCAUACAUGGAAAUAGAAUUGGAAAGAGAGUUAGAGCUGAUUGUGCUGGAAAAGGAGGAUAGACUGAAGACUGGUGGGUUUUUUUGUCAUGUCAUCUGAAAGAUAAAAUGGCAGAAAUAAACAAAAUAAAAUCAUAAGUAUUGGUGGUGAUUUGAGUGACAUCCUAAGAACAAAUUUAAUAUCUCAGGUGGAUAAAACGAUUACUAUUUAACUCAAAUAUUACUUUUCAGAUGCUUCGAAAGGGAUUCUCCAAGUACGUCUCAGAAAAAUGAGAGUCCCAGAAAUUCCAAUGAUUUGACAUUUCAAAAGAAUUAUUCUUGCAAGUCACUGCAAAGUAAAGAUCAGUUAGCACCCACAGAAUUUGGAAAGAUUGCAAUAAAAGAAAAUGAAGCAUCUGCAGCUGAAGCUGGAAGUGGGCCUGACACUGGCUCGAAAGUUGGAGUUCAAAUAGAAAAAUCAGUCCCUCAGAAGCAGUGUGAACCACCUCUAGGAAAAGAGAAUCAGAAAGAAGGAAAGAAAGAUGUGAAACAAGAAUUGAAACUUAAAGGACUAGACGAUGGAGAACAGGAAGGUUUCAGUAAAAAUGACCAGAAACAGGAUAAAGUUACUUUAGAAACAACCAGCAUACCAGAACAAAUGGCACCUAAGGAACAAGUUAAGUCUCUUUCUGCUCCAUUUUUGAACAAGAAAAGAACGCCUGAAGUACUAGAAUCCAGUAGCAAAUCUCCUGGUGAUGACAUACAUUCAAGUCCAGAAACUAAAUGGAAAAAAACUUGUAAAAAAACAUGGAUUGAGGAGGAAAAGGAAGUUUGUGGUGAAAUCUAUGAAAAGGGUAAUGUUGCUACUCCGACAAAAGACAAUAAGAUUGAAAAGAAUCAAAAAAAAUACAGAAACCUUACUUUGGGCAAAAAAAUUAAGGGAUUCUGUGGAAAAGGAGAAACAUAA
rnacentral:lncRNA from 1 species